rnacentral:rRNA from 1 species
AUGUGGUUUAAUUCGAUGCAACGCGAAGAACCUUUACCUGGUCUUGACAUCCACGGAAGUUUUCAGAGAUGAGAAUGUGCCUUCGGGAACCGUGAGACAGGUGCUGCAUGGCUGUCGUCAGCUCGUGUUGUGAAAUGUUGGGUUAAGUCCCGCAACGAGCGCAACCCUUAUCCUUUGUUGCCAGCGGUCCGGCCGGGAACUCAAAGGAGACUGCCAGUGAUAAACUGGAGGAAGGUGGGAUGACGUCAAGUCAUCAUGGCCCUUACGACCAGGGCUACACACGUGCUACAAUGGCGCAUACAAAGAGAAGCGACCUCGCGAGAGCAAGCGGACCUCAUAAAGUGCGUCGUAGUCCGGAUUGGAGUCUGCAACUCGACUCCAUGAAGUCGGAAUCGCUAGUAAUCGUGGAUCAGAAUGCCACGGUGAAUACGUUCCCGGGCCUU